CAGCAGCCGCGGUAAUACGUAGGGUGCGAGCGUUAAUCGGAAUUACUGGGCGUAAAGCGUGCGCAGGCGGUCUCGUAAGCUGGGUGUGAAAGCCCCGGGCUUAACCUGGGAAUGGCAUUCAGGACUGCGAGGCUCGAGUGUGGCAGAGGGAGGUGGAAUUCCACGUGUAGCAGUGAAAUGCGUAGAGAUGUGGAGGAACACCGAUGGCGAAGGCAGCCUCCUGGGCCAGCACUGACGCUCAUGCACGAAAGCGUGGGGAGCAAACAGGAUUAGAUACCCUGGUAGUCCACGCCCUAAACGAUGUCAACUGGUUGUUGGUGGGGUUAACCCAUUAGUAACGAAGCUAACGCGUGAAGUUGACCGCCUGGGGAGUACGGCCGCAGGUUAAACUCAAAGGAAUUGAC
rnacentral:rRNA from 1 species